UUCACACGUCUUACUUCCUGUCCUAGUCCCAGAGCCUGUAAAGGUGAACCCACUGGGGCUGGCUGGGGGAGAAGAGGAAAGUUUGUUCCAGAAGGAACUGUCUGAGGGAUCAUAAGGUUAUCUGUACACAGGAAAAGGGAGAAUCGUCACUUAUUGAAACAUAAGUUGUUUGUCUUUUCCAGGUCUGAGGAAAGAAUAAGGUGCAUAUAAAUGGAAUCCAAAUCUCUUGGAGGUCAUCAGAAAGGGAAUUUUCAAACCUUUUAUGGUACAGCCUAGCUGAUUAAGUUAAUAUGCAAUCAUUUUAGUCUUCCUAAUAAAGCUUUCCUUUUUAA